rnacentral:misc_RNA from 1 species
GGAAGCCUCCUCGCCUCUCUUUAUAAGCAGCCGCGAAAAGAUCAGAGCCCAAUUUUAAACCUCAAUUCAUUUUCUCUUCUGCUGUGGUUCUCGUCUUUGAUUCUUAGGUUUGUUCCAUAAUGUUGUGUGUUCUUCGCUGAGAGGAUGAAUGAGGGACGGUGACGAUUUCAGCAUGGAAAGGUCUCGUUCGUCGUAAUUGGCUCUAAAAGGCCUUGCCGAACAUCCUGCUAUAUCACCACCCAUAUUCCGAGUCCCCCUUCUUCAAUCUCAAUUAAUUUUUAAAUUUUUUUAGCGUUUUUUUCUUAAUAUAACGGUGAAUCGGCCGAUGAUCGAACAACAUUUGAAGACAAGCAUAUGUCUGAAAUUAUCUAUGUUGAUCAAUCUAAUCUUCUAUAUGAGGCCCAGUUUAUUUAUUUAUUUAUUGCACUGUACUGACAAGUAUUUGUUUUUCUUCGUAGCUUGUCCAGUGAUGAAAGAAUUGGUAUAUUUUGUCACAUAUGAUAAAUCUGUGAUUGCAUACAUACCACCACUGCCUUCCUUCUGAGGCCUUGUUAAUCACUCGAGUUUCAUUGCUCGUUUGUUGGUUUAUGUUUUUAGAUUAAUUCCUUUUUGAAAUAGUAUGAAAUGGGUCAUAUGAUGAUCGUAAGCAUAGUUCAACUGAUAAUCUCUGUGAUUAUGAAAACUUUUUGUCUUUCGCUCCUAUCUGAUGACCCAUUUAUAAUGAUUGUACAAUUUUUCAAUUUGGCUGUUUUAAUUUUAUAAAUUUUGUGGCUUUUUGAAUUUCCUAACCAUUUAUUUUUCUUGGCUUAUUUACAUGUUUGUUUACCUGGUAAGUUGAAUGUAAGUGCAAUUUCUUAUUAUUUCAUCUUCAUUUGGUUUUAUGUAUUGGCCUGUGAUUUAAAUAGUUUAUAUAGACAAGCAUAUGCCUGAAUUAUUAGGUGUUGACAAUCCAAAUUGGAUGUAUCUAUGAGGCCUAAAGAUAUUUGAUUCUUUAUAUCUGAAUCCUUGCAAUGGAUCAUUGUUAAAUAUUGUUUUAGUGGGAAGUGUUGUCUAUACUUCAUUGCCAGUUUAUGAUAUUAGAUACAUGAUAUGGUUUUCUUUGUACUAGCAUCAUCAUAGAUAUAUGUAAAGUUUGUCAACUUGGGGAGGCAGUGACGAAUUCUAUCAAUGGUCUCGUUCGGUGUAAUGGCAUGUUUUCCUUGCUGACCAUCCUGAUAUAUCACCGCCCAUAUUCUGAGUCCUAACCCAUGUUCCGAGUCCUAUCGAUAAAUUGGCCUAAAUUAUGUUCAUAUGAAUCCUUUAGCAACCCUGUGAUUUUAUUAUAAUGUGAAAAUUUGAUACAAUAUUCUUUGAUUAGGUUUGCUUGGCUUUGGAAGUGAUUGCUGGAUGGUUUGUUCUCAUUUGUGCUGCAGAGAUAACAUUAUUGUCAAAUUUUUUCAUGAUUUUAACAUAAUACAAUUAAAUUAGCUGAAUCGAAGAUGGGAUUUGUCUGGAUGUGGUAACUUGUUUGAAGAAUGUUGUAGUUGUAUAGAUUUUUCUGUUAUUAGGCCGGAUCUGUAUAGUGCUUUUAGAGUAAAACCUUGCUCUAGGCAGCCUAGGCCACCGAAUUCCCAUGAUUGCCCCGUCAAUUAUCAAUGGUAGUAGACAAUUACGUGUUGCCAGCUAACCAUCGGUACCACCGCGACAGUCACUUGCCUAUUGUUAUCAUCACCUCUAUCGUCGCAAUUGCACUUCUUUAUUAUUAUUAAUCUAGAUAAAUUAAAUAUUAAAAUGAAAAUUAUCAUUAUAUUAGAUGUUACAUUAUUUAUUUUAUUAUAUAUCUUCCUAUUCCCCCUAAGAUCAGAGUGUUUAUAUGGAGGGUAGUGCUGAAUUCCAUCUCAGUCAAGGAGAACCAAGUAAAGAAAAGAGUGCAGGCGAGUCCUAUUUGCCUAAUAUGUAAUUUGGAGUCUGAAUCAGAGGAACUGCCCUGGUGUGGUGCCAGCAAGCACGUGCAACCUGGUUCCUAAGCCCGGGUGGAUUUCAUCUGUGGUUAUGGAGGUUCUGAAUGCGAAAAUGGAUCAAGGGAUAUUGAUCUCUGCAGCUUUCACAUGCUGGUUUAUUUUGGAAUGCUUGGAAUAAAGCCUUAUUUGAGCAUCUUAAUACUAAUCUGCUUCUCACAGCUCGGCAGAUAUCUGUUGAAAUAUCAGAUACGCACUUGACCAGUUUUGUGCAGCAAUCUCCCCGGAGGAAUUCUGUAGACAAUAACGGAAUCAAUUCAACUAGGUUUGGCAUCCCCCUCCUAUUAAUACUUUGAAAUUUAGUAGUCAUGUUGCCUGGAAGGAAGGUGAGAGUAAUGCAGCCAUAGCAGGUGUGGUUAGGAAUCAUGUGGGGAAAGUUAUAGAUGGUGCAGCAAGAUUAGUUCAGUGUUCUACCCCCUCUAGCAUGUGAGGCGAUAGGCAAUUCAGUUGGCGUUUACCAUGGGAGCCUACUCCAUCAUCCUUAAUCGGUCCUAGAGGUUCUUAUCUCAGCCCUUGAGAGUAUUCAGAGGGAUGAUUGUUGGGAAAUUCAAGCUUCGGUCCAAGCUGUUAGAAGUCUAGCAGUUCCUGCUAAAGUAGCAGCUCACAACUUAGCUGAGUUGUGUUUUAAUCACCGUUUGCCUUGUAAUUGAUUAGUGGCGAGUCCUAGCUCCUUUGAGGCCAUCUGUAGGGCCAUGUAAUGCAUUUGCAAUUAAAAAAAUGUAUAAUUAAUGUUAUUAUGUUACAUUAUAUUCUACUGAACAUAGUUUAAAAUUAGAGUGAACGAUAACCUCCAAAUGAAAGUAAUGGACUUCUGGGUAUUCGUGAUUAUAGAAUACAUCCAGUGCACCAAAAAUGGCGUUGAAAUUUCAACUCUUAAGUUGGAGACCGCUCUGUAGAAAUAACUUUUUUAACUUUGUUUGCAUUCCCUUCUCCGUUGUAUCCCACGAAACCGUCUCUAUUAGAGGAAACGUUUCUUUCGUACACCAAGCAAAUGAAACAUUAUUGCUUCUACGAAAUUCCAGUGAAGAUGAUGCACGACAACUCGGACUCGGACCAGGGGAGCUUGGACCUGUUAUAACGCCCCAUGUGCUACGUACAGAGCCUGUCUGUACAUAUUUGUAUUUUGGGCAAGGCUCAGGCUUUACAGGAGCACCAAACAAUUUGCGAACUGCGAAUUGUUCAGUUAAGAUGAGCGUGUACAACCCAGCUGCUUCUUUUGGCAUUCAUGUUGGUUCAGUUCCAGUCAAUUUUUUGUACUCAAGAUUAUAGUUGCUACAGGUGUAAGAUCAAGAUCUUGGAAUUGUUAAUGAACAAUAAUUUUGCAGCAUAUAUAGAGGAGAUUUUGGUGGUUAAUGGGCUGUUAGUUGAAUUUGCAUACUUGUUCUUGCAGUUGAAGAGAAAUUUUCAAUCGAGAAAGAGCCACCGCAAUGUGUAUGUGAAUCUGGUAGGAACAAAAGUUCGCCUCUAUGGCGCAGGGGCAAGCUAGCUAUCAUAACAAUGGCAGAGUUUCAUUGGCAAUGAUCAUGUUGCUUGUGUUUUUGUAAUACCCUUUCCAGCUCAUUGUAUAGUAUUGUCCUCUUUGACUCACUAGAUCUC